rnacentral:rRNA from 1 species
GAUGAACGCUGGCGGCGUGCCUAAUACAUGCAAGUCGAGCGAACGGACGAGAAGCUUGCUUCUCUGAUGUUAGCGGCGGACGGGUGAGUAACACGUGGAUAACCUAUCUAUAAGACUGGGAUAACUUCGGGAAACCGGAGCUAAUACCGGAUAAUAUUUUGACACGCAUGGUUCAAAAGUGAAAGACGGUUUUGCUGUCACUUAUAGAUGGAUCCGCGCUGCAUUAGCUAGUUGGUAAGGUAACGGCUUACCAAGGCAACGAGUCAUAGCCGACCUGAGAGGGGGAUCGGCCACACUGGAACGGAAACACGGUCCAGACUCCUACGGGAGGCAGCAGUAGGGAAUCUUCCGCAAUGGGCGAAAGCCUGACGGAGCAACGCCGCGUGAGUGAUGAAGGUCUUCGGAUCGGAAAACUCUGUUAUUAGGGAAGAACAGAUGUGUAAGGAACUGUGCACAGCUUGACGGUACCUAAUCAGAAAGCCACGGCUAACUACGUG